GAAAAUUCACGGCGCGGCGGUCAGGGAGCUCGACCGGGCGAGCAGCAGGGAGCAAGGCGAGCUUGGAAUGGUGAGCAGAGCGCGCGCAGGGGCAAGCUUGGCAGAGCGCGAGCGAGCAGGGAGAUGCCAUGGCGUGGAGCAACAGAGAGAAACGCCGGGGAGGAGAGAGAUCCGCGCGAGAGAGAAACGCGCAGGAGAAAAAUCUGGGAGCGCAGGAGCUGGAACAGGAAGCAGGGAGAUGAAGCCGAGGAGGAUCCUGCGCGCAGGGAGGAGGAAUCGGUGGUCGGGCGACCGAGCGCCAUGGGGGACGCGGUCAAGCAGAGGGAGAAGGAGAGGGCCGCAAGAGAGAAGCAGGAGAGGGAGUUGCGGCGCAGUCCGGCGAGCCGCUCGGCAGUGUAGGGAACCGGACACAGCGCUGGAGGUUGAAGAAGGCUGCGUGCGUAUAAAAAGAACAGCGGGCGGCGGCUAAAAAAACCCCAGAGGGCGGUUAGGCGGCUGGAGAGGAGGAAAUGAUGGGCGAACAGGGAGGGCGGUCAAGCGCUGCUGGGGAAGACGAUGGGAACUGGGCGACGACCACCGGAUAAGGACCCUGUGCGCAUAGGAGAUAAGGAGGACGAGGGAACGGCGGCCUGAUUUUUCUUUCUUCAGAAGCAGAGCGGCGGCGGGAUAAGGCUGGAGAA
rnacentral:misc_RNA from 1 species